GCCAGUGUCCCGCACGUGAUCUCCAUGGCAACGUCACGAAGCUCGUGAACUCUUCCUGUUGUGUUGAAGGCUAGCUGCACACAAGCAUACACUUGUGGAGAGGAAUGAAGAGUACUGUGUUGACCAGCAAAUCGGACCAAAGAUGGGAGCAUGUCAGACAAGCCUUUGUACAAAGAGACAAAGCCAGGACAGGUACUGUCUGCUGUGGACUUCAAGGACAUCAUGGUGACCAUCAGUCCCCACAUGCCAACACCAUUUGUGGAUGAAGGCCCGAUUGCAGCAGCCGGUGGCAGAACGUCACAUCAGGUCAGCCUUUUCUACUUAAAUGGCUUCAACUCUUCGCUAAACAACAUGGAGCUCAUUAGGCAGAUCUGCACCACCCUGGCAGGCAACCGCAGAGAUGUGGAAGUUACCAAAGGGAUGUUCAUCAUUGUUGCUCAGAGGUUUGGCCAGGUGACCCCUAUAAACGUGGACAUCCAGUUCCAGUAGGCUGCCCUGUCGUAGUCAAAAGGGCUCUAUAGGAGAACAUCUCAGAUUUGCCUGCUGGUGCUCAGUGCAUCUGAAGAGGGACGCAGGGCUGCAUUCCUGAGGCUUGGAGCACUGGAGGUUGCGGAGAGCCAGUGUUUUGGUGUAAACAACAUUGUGGGACUGCCGUGAUGGCGCUGGGUCGUAUCUCAUCCAGCGGCCUCAUUCUCUGACAUUUUAUAGACAGCUGGAGAGAAGUGGGUGCAAAAGCCUGUUUCCUGAGAGGCAUCCCAUCUACUUCCCUAUGAACACGCCGAGACAGCCCUGACUGAUGAGGAGGGGCGAACGGGACCUGGCAGGCUUCUUCUGGCAGGGCCGAUGGCGGGCCCGCCUGUAGCAUCCUUGGUGACCCCUGCUGAUGUUAUCAAGACCCGGUUACAAGUGACUGGCCGUGCAGACCAGACCAUGUACAAUGGACUCAUUGACUGUUUCUUUAGGAGAAGAGCCCUCGUGCCCUCUGUAAAUUAGUUUGAGAAAACCAACUGGCUCUGGGCCCACUCCCAAGUCUCGGAUCAGCCUCCCGGCGCCCAAUCCUGACCACACUGGUGGCUUGCAGGUUGGCCGUGGCCACGUUUGCUGGCAUCCAGAGUAAAUUUGGACUUCCAAGUGACUGCCACCCCCACGUCAGACCACGCUUGAGACCGAGGCUUCGUGCUGGGGCUGGCGAUACCAUGUGUGAGUCGAAUGUGCACACAUGAAUCUCUUUUUAUUGAGAACACACUGCUAAACUUUCAGCAGCUGAUCUGGAAAUGAUGUUUUAUAUAAUUAUGUGUGCAAAUUACAGCUUUCCAAGACAAAAUAGUUGGUUAUUAUUUUUUAAAAUCUAACACAUUCUGAACUGUUAAGUAGGAUUGUGGUGUAAUUUGUGACCCAUGGGCAAACCAAGCUCAGGGCGCACUCACAUUAUCCAAACCAAACCAAACCAUGCCCCAGCGCGAUUGUCACCCCUCCCUUCUCCCCCAUGGUGCACGCACUCACACUGUACUUUUUAUCGAUCCGAGUCCGGGCGCGCUUUCGUCAUUAAGAUGCGUUUGUUUUGAAAAAAGCAGGAAGUAAAGCUCUCCCUUAACACUGGAACCCACCGUAAUGAUAAGUCUGUGUUUUUUGCCCGGAGUCGUUUGGUGCGCGAUUACAGACAGCCCUCUCACAUGUCAUCAUAUUGCUUAGUUGAUCUGUCACGCGCGCAGCUCGGACAUUCACGUAACCCCGCUGCGCGCAUCAAAUGGUUUAUACGGAGGCAGAUGAAGGUGAGUGGUCGCGCAACUGACGUCUUCACCUUUUGAAUCG